CUUUGGGUUUCGUUAAAUUAAACCUACAAUAUAGUAAUGUGCGACUAACUGGACUCCCUGUGUAAUUUAUGGCACUAGCUGAAAUGUUUUAUCCAUUAAAUAAUUUUGGUUAUAGUUCAUUUAAGAGAGACCCAAUUUGUUCAGUAAACCACUGUUUACUAAAGAAAGCAAUUUUGAUUAUUUUUUUCUCCUGCUAUACUAAAAUCAUACCUACCAUGAUUUCAAAACCGAUGGUAUGUACCAAAUAUUAUUUUUAUUUUUUUUGGUGUAACUUCAUUUAAAUUAUUUUUGGAACAUGAUUAAAAUGGACAAUAAUGCUGUCAUGUCCUAUUAUACUCUAAAUUUUUAUAUAACAUUAAAUCCAUAACAAUAUUUAAUAUGAUUUGAAAUGGUGUGCAGUUUGAUUUAGUUCAAUUCUACUAAAACGUGCAGAUUAUUGUACUUUCAGAACAAACAGCUUCCUGUGAAUGUUGCAGUCCAUCAUGUCUGUAUUCCCGGACAUUGUUCAAGUUAUCAGACAUUGUGUUUUUCCCCUUCUUAACUUACUCAGUGUUCUUCCUUGGUGGGCCCCUGAGGGUCUCAGGACAGAAAAGGUGUGCUCUAUGGAUUAAACAGGUGGAUGAGCACUCCAGCCAUCACCAUGAUGGUCUGCCUGAGAGACGCCCACUGGAGCUGAGAAAGAUGGAGUGGGUGGAUGAGCACUCCAGCCGUCACCAUGAUGGUCUGCCUGAGAGAUGCCCACUGGAGCUGAGAAAGAUGGAGUGGGUAAGAUUUGCUUGUUACAUUUUGCAAAUUAACAAACUAAGGCCUGCAACACACUCAGCAGCCAGAAUUACGUUUUAUAAAUUUUUGGGGUCUAAAAUCAUGAGCCAUGUGAAAUCAUGCGGAUCAGUAUAAGAUAAUUUGAGGGGAGUGGGGUUGGUGGUCAUGAUGUUCGAAAUCCAGGGUUUUUCCUGGGUCAAAAAUGGUCUUCGGUUGUGGCUGACGGUCAUCCACACAGUAAAAAGAACUCUAUCCACAUGAUUUGCAAAAUACUACAAUAAAUUUUAAACAAAUGCAAUGAAACA
ensembl:lncRNA